GUCUAUGUGUCAUCCGCCUCGAGGAACUAAACAAGUUCCUCACUUUAAGUGUGCUCAGAAUAAAUGGAGAUUUUUAACACUAAAAUCAAGCUUCAUUAAUCGCAAAGUGAUUGAAGAGUGACCGGUGGACUAUUUGUCGAGAUUCUGAAUUGUUUGCUUGAGUGAUUUUGCAACAGAAGACGCAAAAUGGACAAGAGAAAAUUGUCAACUGCCGGAGAUACUCUUUAUGAGACUCUGGGAUUGCCCAAAACUGCCACGGCUGAUGAUAUAAAGAAGACUUAUCGGAAACUAGCAUUGAAGUAUCAUCCAGAUAAGAAUCCCAACAAUCCAGAAGCGGCUGAGAAAUUCAAAGAAGUCAAUCGAGCGCAUUCCAUCCUUAGUGAUCUCACCAAGAGGAAUAUUUAUGACAACUACGGAUCUCUCGGUCUCUACAUUGCCGAACAGUUUGGCGAAGAGAAUGUGAAUGCCUACUUUGUGGUCACUUCACCGGCAUGCAAAGCGAUCUUCUUAAUCUGUGGCAUCGUGACGGGAUGCUACUGCUGCUGUUGCUGCUUCUGCUGCUGCUGUAACUUCUGCUGUGGGAAAUACAAACCAAUGCCACCUGAACAUUCCGGAGACUAUCACCAUUUGAACGUGAGUGGUCGAGAUGGAGGCAAUGCUAGUAAUAUGCCUGGAGGAUCAGGUCCAACGACUCAACAGCCUAGAAGACGAGAGGAUUUGGCUGAUCUGGAGGAUGUGAAGGUCGGCGGGGCUCCGGUGACUUCUCAGCCGACAGCUGGACAAGCCAGUGGCGCUGGAAUGCCCGUGUACGCGAUGCCACCGCCGCCGUCAGCUGCUCCUAGUACAAAUCCCUUCUACGCUGGAGCAACAGAGUCCACUUCACUUAACACUAGUGAGCAAACCACUUAUACUCCCGGACAAUAAAAACAUGCUCAUUAAAUAGCAGAUCGGAAGAGUUUUCCAAAAACAAUAUUAUACCUUUUCUCAUAUAAUGGAAAAUAAGCAGAAAUGUAGGAAAUAUGUGUUGAGGAAUGACUUCAUCUCCGCGACAUGGUUGAACCCAAUAAAAGAGAAUUUUAAUGUUAGUGUCGUAAAAUUAAGUGGCGAUGAAGUUAAAGUGAAGGGAAGCACUGAGGAAGUAUACACACAAGGAUAUAAGAAAAAAAAACAAUUCUAAUCAUGGAAUUAUUCGUUCGAUGUACUUUUCAAAUGGCAUUUUUUUGAGAAGGAAAAGCCAGAAGAAACCAAUAAAAACCAAUCGUAGCACCAAAUAACAAUAAUGGAAAGUAAAAAAAAAUGCAUCUUGAAGUAUUUUCACGUGAA